GAUUCGGUAGCUCAGUUGGUAGAGCACCUGACUUUUAAUCAGGUGGUCGUGGGUUCGACCCCCACCCGAAUCACCA
rnacentral:tRNA from 1 species